UACGGAGGAUGCGAGCGUUAUCCGGAUUUAUUGGGUUUAAAGGGUGCGUAGGCGGGAUGCCAAGUCAGCGGUAAAAAUGCGGUGCUCAACGCCGUCGAGCCGUUGAAACUGGCGUUCUUGAGUGGGCGAGAAGUAUGCGGAAUGCGUGGUGUAGCGGUGAAAUGCAUAGAUAUCACGCAGAACUCCGAUUGCGAAGGCGGCUUACUGGACAGAAACUGACACUGAGGCUCGAAAGCGUGGGGAGCAAACAGG
rnacentral:rRNA from 1 species